CGCGGCCUAUCAGCUUGUUGGUGAGGUAACGGCUCACCAAGGCGACGACGGGUAGCCGGCCUGAGAGGGCGACCGGCCACACUGGGACUGAGACACGGCCCAGACUCCUACGGGAGGCAGCAGUGGGGAAUAUUGGACAAUGGGCGAAAGCCUGAUGCAGCAACGCCGCGUGAGGGAUGACGGCCUUCGGGUUGUAAACCUCUUUCAGCGCCGACGAAGCGAAAGUGACGGUACCUGCAGAAGAAGCGCCGGCUAACUACGUGCCAGCAGCCGCGGUAAUACGUAGGGCGCGAGCGUUGUCCGGAAUUAUUGGGCGUAAAGGGCUCGUAGGCGGUUUGUCACGUCGGGAGUGAAAACUCGGGGCUUAACUCCGAGCCUGCUUCCGAUACGGGCUGACUAGAGGUAUGCAGGGGAGAACGGAAUUCCUGGUGUAGCGGUGAAAUGCGCAGAUAUCAGGAGGAACACCGGUGGCGAAGGCGGUUCUCUGGGCAUUACCUGACGCUGAGGAGCGAAAGUGUGGGGAGCGAACAGGAUUAGAUACCCUGGUAGUCCACACCGUAAACGGUGGGAACUAGGUGUUGGCGACAUUCCACGUCGUCCGUGCCGCAGCUAACGCAUUAAGUGCCCCGCCUGGGGAGUACGGA
rnacentral:rRNA from 1 species